UACGGAGGGUGCAAGCGUUGUUCGGAAUCACUGGGCGUAAAGCGCGUGUAGGCGGCCCAUUAAGUCUGAUGUGAAAGCCCGGGGCUCACCCCCGGAAGUGCAUUGGAAACUGAUGGACUCGAGUCCCGGAGAGGAGGGUGGAAUUCCUGGUGUAGCGGUGAAAUGCGUAGAUAUCAGGAGGAACACCGGUGGCGAAGGCGGCCCUCUGGACGGUGACUGACGCUGAGACGCGAAAGCGUGGGGAGCAAAC
rnacentral:rRNA from 1 species